GGUACAGGCUGGGAUUGUAGUCCUGCAGCCUUGUGGCCGAAGGGCUGGGACUGGCCAUGAGAUUACAUGUCCUAGCAUGCUCAGCCAGGCGCGCGCAGCUCUGCCCCUUCCUCCAGUGAUGCGCACAGUCCCUGAUCCCUGUGCACGCUGGGAUUGUAGUCCUGCAGCCCUGCGAUCACUUGCAGGUAACAAGAAAUUUCAGCUUCCGGCAUGAUGGGCGAAGGCCCCCACCUUCAGCCUCGCUCCUCCAUGCCUUCAGAGCUGUUCCGCCAUGCAGACGGGGAGCCUGCCUGUUCUUUAACCUCUCCUACCUGAUGGGAGAGGACAAGCUACCAGGACAGCUUGUCUCACCAAGAAAUUGUGAUACCGCAUCCCCCAACGUGCUGGCUUCCUGACUUCCAAAGUUGCGGCAAGGUAAGAAGAACUACAGAGGAAGAACCUAAUGCAGACGUUUCCCAGGAGACUUUAACUGAAGUAUCAGCAAACUGAAAGUCCUCUGUCACCCUGAGAGAAGACCUGGGAUCACAGGACAACGGGCAGUGUGACAGCCUGUGUACGACAGAGCAGAGCCUCCCAUUCCCAAUCACCCAAAGUUUUAUUCCAGGCCAGGCCUCCGUGGUAUCUUUUUUCUGGCACCAUAUCUGUAGAGUCUGCUGAACAUCAAACAAUUCUCCAACACUAACUUAUUGUCUCACAUUUGAAUUCUGACAGCACCCAGAGUCAUCGUAGACCCUGAUUCAGGGCUCAGUCCCGCAACAUUGUCCUCAUGGCAGAUGCCAGUCACAAACCCCAAGGGCCCAUCUAUGCUUCUGAGCUACUGUUUAAAACCUGGGGAGUCCCAUAACCUCUCUGAAGUUCAAUAAUUUGGUAGAGCUACUCACAGAAUCAUCAAAAUACUGUAGUUAUCUUUACUGGUUUAAUAUAUAAGAUGCAGCCCUGGAAAAGCCAAAUGGAAGAAAUGCACAGAACAAAGAAAAGAGAUGGGGAAAGAUGAAACACAUAGAUAAUCCUGGAAAAUUUUUCUGAUUAAUAAAAUUCUCCAUCCUU
rnacentral:lncRNA from 1 species